rnacentral:rRNA from 1 species
GACAGAGGGUGCAAACGUUGUUCGGAAUUACUGGGCGUAAAGCGCGUGUAGGCGGCUAAGUAAGUCGGGCGUGAAAUCCCACGGCUCAACCGUGGAAGUGCACUCGAAACUGCGUAGCUAGAGUCCUGGAGAGGAAGGUGGAAUGCUUGGUGUAGAGGUGAAAUUCGUAGAUAUCAAGCGGAACACCGGUGGCGAAGGCGGCCUUCUGGACAGUGACUGACGCUGAGGAGCGAAAGCGUGGGGAGCGAACAGG